GCCUAGCUGGUUCAGUUGGAAGAGCAUGUGGCUCUUGAUCUCAGGAUUGUGAGUUUGAGUCCUACGUUGGGUG
rnacentral:tRNA from 1 species